UGAAAUCUCACCCGGCCCGGACACCGCGAGGAUUGACAGACUGAGAGCUCUUUCUCGAUUCGGUGGGUGGUGGUGCAUGGCCGUUCUUAGUUGGUGGAGCGAUCUGUCUGGUUAAUUCCGAUAACGAACGAGACCCCAACCUGCUAACUAGCCCUCGGGUCCUGCUUCUGUUGGGCCCGACGGAAUGAUUCGCUUCUUAGAGGGACUCGCGGCGCCUAGCCGCACGAAGGGGGGCGAUAA
rnacentral:rRNA from 1 species